GCUUGCCUCUGCCUCCCGAGUGCUGGGAUUAAAGGCGCGUGCCACCAAAGCCCAGCUCUGGCUGAUUUCUUUUAACAUCUGUUAAGUGAAGAAGUAAAGACAGCCAGAGGUUAGAAACUUCCCAGGACCAGGACCACUUCUGCGGUGUUAUUUCAUAUUAGAAUUUUAUCUAAACACGGAAGAUGUACAGUCAACUUUGUGCCUUUGUCUUCAAGAACUGAGAACUUCAUGUGCCAAGCUUUUCUAGAAAGGCAGCAGAGGUGUUCGCAGCGCUCAGCCAUGCUUCCUGUCCUCAUCUUGUUGCUGGGGAUGCAUUUUUUCCUAGGACACAUCCAAGCACAGUCAGUGUCCUAGGGUGAUGCUCAUGUCACCAUCCUCGAAGGAGACUCAGUGGAGCUCAGAUGCAACUAUUCCUAUGGUGGAACUACUUACCUCUUCUGGUACAUGCAGCUCCAUGUUCAAAGCCUCCAGUUGCUCUUCAAGUAUUAUUCUGGAGAGCCCUUGGUUCAUGGCUUGAGCGGCUUUGAGGCUGAGUUUAGCAAGAGCGACUCUUCCGUCCACCUGAAGAAAGUCUCUGUGCACCUGAGCGACUCGGCUGUGUACUUCUGUGCUCUGAGUUCACAGUGUGUGGAGCUGCAGGAGGAGCUGAACACAAACCUGUAAGAUGCUGGGGAGGACUAUAGCUGAGUGACUUUCGAUUAUCCAUGCUCCUGUAAGUAACCUAAAUAAAGUUAUUAGUUCUCCCA